CGUAGUUUGAUCAUGGCUCAGAGCGAACGCUAGCGGCGGGCUUAACACAUGCAAGUCGAGCGGAGAGCUUCGGCUCUCAGCGGCGAACGGGUGAGUAACACGUAGGUCACGUACCCUUUGAUGGGGAAUAACCUAGGGAAACCUGGGCUAAUACCGCAUAUGUCCUUCGGGAUGAAAGCCUUCGGGCGUCAGAGGAUCGGCCUGCGGCCCAUUAUUUAAUCCUAGUUGGUAGGGUAAUGGCCUACCAAGGGUACGAUGGGUAGCUGGUCUGAGAGGAUGAUCAGCCACACUGGAACUGAGACACGGUUCAGACUCCUACGGGAGGCAGCAGUGGGGAAUAUUGGACAAUGGGCGAAAGCCUGAUCCAGCCACGCCGCGUGGGUGAUGAAGGCCUUCGGGUUGUAAAGCCCUGUCGGGAGGGACGAAUCAAUGACGGUACCUCCCAAGAAAGCACCGGCUAACUCCGUG
rnacentral:rRNA from 1 species